GCCUUUAUAUCUCAGCGGUAAAGCUUCGGUCUUUUAAACUAAAGGUCUGUAGUUCGAACCUGCAUGGAGGCA
rnacentral:tRNA from 1 species